rnacentral:rRNA from 1 species
UACGAAGGGGCUAGCGUUGUUCGGAAUUACUGGGCGUAAAGCGCACGUAGGCGGAUAUUUAAGUCAGGGUGAAAUCCCAGAGCUCAACUCUGGAACUGCCUUUGAUACUGGGUAUCUUGAGUAUGGAAGAGGUAAGUGGAAUUGCGAGUGUAGAGGUGAAAUUCGUAGAUAUUCGCAGGAACACCAGUGGCGAAGGCGGCUUACUGGUCCAUAACUGGACGCUGAGGUGCGAAAGCGUGGGGAGCAAACAGGAGUUAGAU